rnacentral:rRNA from 1 species
UACGAAGGGGGCUAGCGUUGCUCGGAAUCACUGGGCGUAAAGCGCACGUAGGCGGAUUGUUAAGUCAGGGGUGAAAUCCUGGAGCUCAACUCCAGAACUGCCUUUGAUACUGACGAUCUUGAGUUCGGGAGAGGUGAGUGGAACUGCGAGUGUAGAGGUGAAAUUCGUAGAUAUUCGCAAGAACACCAGUGGCGAAGGCGGCUCACUG